rnacentral:rRNA from 1 species
CAGUAGCCACGGGAAUACAGAGGGUGCGAGCGUUAAUCGGAUUUACUGGGCGUAAAGCGUGCGUAGGCGGCUUCUUAAGUCGGAUGUGAAAUCCCUGAGCUUAACUUAGGAAUUGCAUUCGAUACUGGGAAGCUAGAGUAUGGGAGAGGAUGGUAGAAUUCCAGGUGUAGCGGUGAAAUGCGUAGAGAUCUGGAGGAAUACCGAUGGCGAAGGCAGCCAUCUGGCCUAAUACUGACGCUGAGGUACGAAAGCAUGGGGAGCAAACAGGAUUAGAUACCCCAGUAGUCCCUGUCUCUUAUAC